UUUUGACGGUCACCUCUGCCUUUGUUUUGAACAGUCGCGUCGCGAAUUUCAAGUGGAACUGACCUCUAUGUCGUCGCGCUCGUCAAUUUUGUAGUUCUAACGAAUAUUUCCGGUAUCUAGUGGCUCGUUAAUGGAUCAGGAAGUUAAUGUUGGCUCAGUUAGUUGUGGAGACACGUGGAGUGGAGGUCGGUGCCGGCUGGAUUUUGGGUGAAAC
rnacentral:misc_RNA from 1 species